GGCACAUUCGAGCCGUGGAUCGACGAGGUCUUGGACCAGAGGGAGGACACGGCGGACGCGGCCGCACCGAAGGAAGCGGGCUACCAGCAGCAGCGCGGAGGACGCGGGUGCCACAAACGCGGGCCAGGAAAAGCCACAGAAGCAAGAACGCCGUGAUGACGCACCCACCAGCAACCGCGUCAGUAUCGUGCAGAGGGCUCUGUCAGAGCCCGACUCGUUGACGCCAGUGGAAGUCGAUCGACUUGUGCGCGUAGUCUUCUGGAAAGCCAUCCAUGACGACGACACUGCUGGGCCGGCGGCGAGGUUCUGCGCCAGCGUCAU